ensembl:lncRNA
AUGGGGAGCCAGAAAGAAGAUAAACAACAGGGAGAGAGAUGGAUGGGGAGCCAGAAAGAAGAUAAAACAACGGGAGCCAUAGAGGAAGAGAGAUGGGGGAGCCAGAAAGAAGAAAAGAAAGAAGAACAGGGAAGGAGAGAUGGAUGGGGAGCUCGAAAGAAGAUACAACAACAGGGAAGGAGAGAUGAUGGGGAGCCAGAAAGAAAGAAAAAACAAAAGGGAAGGAGAGAGAUGGAUGGGGAGCCAGAAAGAAGAACAGGGAAGGAGAGAUGGAUGGGGAGCCAGAAAGAAAUAAACAACAGGGAGAGAAGAGAUGGAUGGGGAGCCAGAAAGAAAAUAAAACAAACAGUGAAGCAGAGAGGAUUGGAGCCGGAAGAAGAGAACAGGGAAGGAGGAGAUGGAUGGGGAGCCAGAAAGAAUAUAAAACAACAGGGAAAGAGAGGGAUGGAUGGGGAGCCAGAAAGAGAUAAAACAACAGGGGAUGAGAGAUGGAUGGGGAGCCAGACAGAGAAGCGAACAGGGAAGGAGAGAUGGAUGGGGAGCCAGAAAGAAGAUAAAACAACAGGGAAGGAGAGAUGGAUGGGGAGCCAGAAAGAAGACCAGGGAAGGAGAGAGAUGGAUGGGGAGCCAGAAAGAAGAUAAAACAACAGGGAAGGAGAGAGAUGGAUGGGGAGCCAGAAAGAAGAUAAAACAACAGGGAAGGAGAGAUGGAUGGGGAGCCAGAAAGAAGAACAAUAAAACAACAGGGAAAAAACAACUUCUUCUUUCUCUCUUUCUUGCGUUCCUUCUUGUCUUUCCGUCACUCCCUUCCUCCUUCCCACCCUCCUUGAUCAGGCAGAUGUCGUUGUGAUGGUGAUGAGUAUGGGCUUUACUGAGACAGUGACUAAGCACAGUGGGGCGGUGGCCCAUGCUAGAACCAUGGGUGUGUUCGUAUUUUCAAUCUGUUGUGCCAGAGUGUGCUCUGGGCAUUGGUAAAUUCAGAGCGUUUCGCUCUGGGAGCGUUUCGCUCUGGGAGCGUUCAGAGGGCACACUGUACACUCUGGCCGAGGAGUAGGGUUGAUCCCAGAUGUCUGACCUCACAAGGGCAGUCAAGCACCCAAGCCAACUGGCUAAUGUUGGCUAGCUUGCUAGCUACUUCCAGACACAAUGAGAGAACACCUCAUACUGAUCAUUUUAACCCCGCUAGUAGAGCGUGUUAGGCUGUUUUUAUGUUAUCUAGAGCGUUGGUGACAAACUGUGCUGCUGGCAACAACAGUCAUAUUCAGCAGGUGGGGCGUGUUCCUAAAUUCAUCAGUUGUUCUGUGCUCUGGCACACUCAGAUGAGAGUGCUCUGAAAUCAGAGUAGAUAGCCAGAGAGAACUUACGAACACACCCUACGUCUCUACCGAUCAGAGUUACACAUACCCAUUCAUUCACCUCUCCUUCCUUCCUUUCUCUCUUUCCCUCGGAUGCCCAUCGGCUCCUACUCUACCACCCCAGGCCCAUCCUUCUUCUCUCCUCCCUCUGUUGCCCUCCAUGGGAUUUACUGAAACAGUGAGUCAGUACUCUACAGUUAGCUGUCACGCUAACACUAGGAUAACUCUCUGACCUACUUUCCAAAGAGGCUUUUCCCCUCCACUCGCACUGCCUGGAUGUCUGCUUUAUACUGAUAACUGGACGCGCACACAUGUAUGUGUGCAGUUACACGCGCUCGCCCACACAUACACACUCCAGCUUAUGUUAAUAGGAACAUAAAGCCUGAGAGACAUGAAGCUGAUCCUUGAGAGGACGGUGAUGCUCACUGUCCUGUUAUUCCUGGUUUUCCUUAGCCGGAGUGAGAGUGAGAGUGAGAGAGAGAGAGAGAGAGAGAGAGAGAGUGUGUGUGUGUUUUAUCCCAAUCGUCUUAAAGCAAGCAUGAGUAUUCUACUCUAAAUCGCUCCGCUGAGACUUUGUUUGUUGUGAGGCUUUUUGUGUGAAAGGAAUGUAUGUCUCAUCUAAAUGGCAUAUUCAGGAGCUUAGUCUUUGUGUUUGAACUCUCUCUUUCUAGAGCAGGCGUCUUUCCCCCCUUUCUCUACCUCCCUCAUCUCUUCAGGUACAUCUAUUUCUGCUUUCUCCUGUCCACCUCACUCUUCCAUUCAUCUUCCCUCCUUUCUCUACCUCGUUUCCUAACACAUCUCUUCAGGUACAUCUAUUUCUGCUUUCUCCUGUCCACCUCACUCUUCCAUUCAUCUUCCCUCCUUUCUCUACCUCC